AGAGUUUGAUCCUGGCUCAGGAUGAACGCUAGCGACAGGCUUAACACAUGCAAGUCGAGGGGCAGCGAGGGAGUGGCAACACUUCUGUCGGCGACCGGCGCACGGGUGAGUAACGCGUAUGCAACCUGCCCUUCACAGGGGGAUAACCGGGAGAAAUUCCGACUAAUACCGCAUACGUCCUCCGGGGGCAUCCCCGGGGGAUGAAAGAAUUAUCGGUGAAGGAUGGGCAUGCGUGAUAUUAGGUAGUUGGCGGGGCAACGGCCCACCAAGCCUACGAUAUCUAGGGGUUCUGAGAGGAAGGUCCCCCACAUUGGUACUGAGACACGGACCAAACUCCUACGGGAGGCAGCAGUGAGGAAUAUUGGUCAAUGGACGAGAGUCUGAACCAGCCAAGUAGCGUGAAGGAUGAAGGUCCUACGGAUUGUAAACUUCUUUUAUAAGGGAAUAAACCCUCCCACGUGUGGGAGCUUGUAUGUACCUUAUGAAUAAGCAUCGGCUAACUCCGUGCCAGCAGCCGCGGUAAUACGGAGGAUGCGAGCGUUAUCCGGAUUUAUUGGGUUUAAAGGGAGCGCAGACGGGUCGUUAAGUCAGCUGUGAAAGUUUGGGGCUCAACCUUAAAAUUGCAGUUGAUACUGGCGUCCUUGAGUGCGGUUGAGGUGUGCGGAAUUCGUGGUGUAGCGGUGAAAUGCUUAGAUAUCACGAAGAACUCCGAUUGCGAAGGCAGCACACUAAUCCGUAACUGACGUUCAUGCUCGAAAGUGUGGGUAUCAAACAGGAUUAGAUACCCUGGUAGUCCACACGGUAAACGAUGGAUACUCGCUGUUGGCGAUAUACUGUCAGCGGCUUAGCGAAAGCGUUAAGUAUCCCACCUGGGGAGUACGCCGGCAACGGUGAAACUCAAAGGAAUUGACGGGGGCCCGCACAAGCGGAGGAACAUGUGGUUUAAUUCGAUGAUACGCGAGGAACCUUACCCGGGCUUGAAUUGCAGAGGAAGGAUUUGGAGACAAUGACGCCCUUCGGGGCCUCUGUGAAGGUGCUGCAUGGUUGUCGUCAGCUCGUGCCGUGAGGUGUCGGCUUAAGUGCCAUAACGAGCGCAACCCCUCUCCUUAGUUGCCAUCAGGUUAAGCUGGGCACUCUGGGGACACUGCCACCGUAAGGUGUGAGGAAGGUGGGGAUGACGUCAAAUCAGCACGGCCCUUACGUCCGGGGCUACACACGUGUUACAAUGGCAGGUACAGAGAGA
rnacentral:rRNA from 1 species